rnacentral:tRNA from 1 species
UGCAUCGGCCAGGAAUCGAACCCGGGCCACCCGCGUGGCAGGCGAGCAUUCUACCACUGAACCACCGAUGC